AGUGAACGCUGGCGGUAGGCCUAACACAUGCAAGUCGAACGGCAGCACAGUUAGAGCUUGCUCUUACGGGUGGCGGGUGGCGGACGGGUGAGGAAUACAACGUAAUCUACUUUUUCGUGGGGGUUCACGUAGGGAAACUUAAGCUAAUACCGCAUACGACCUUGGGUGGAAAGCAGUGGAUCUUCGGACCUUGCGCGAUUGAAUGCGCCGAUGUUGGAUUAGCUAGUUGGCGGGGUACAGGCCCACCAAGGCGACGAUCCGUAGCUGGUCUGAGAGUAUGAUCAGCCACACUGGAACUGAGACACGGUCCAGACUCCUAAGGGAGGCAGCAGUGGGGAAUAUUGGACAAUGGGCGCAAGCCUGAUCCAGCCAUACCGCGUGGGUGAAGAAGGCCUUCGGGUUGUAAUGCCCUUUUGUUGGGAAAGAAAAGCAGCAGGUUAAUACCCCGCUGUUCUGACGGUACCCAAAGAAUAAGCACCGGCUAACUACGUG
rnacentral:rRNA from 1 species